GGAAGAUUUUUUGUCUUUUACACUGUCGUCAAGCUCCGGCAGGACAGUUUUUAACACCAAAAACAAUUGCAAAUGAACCCAUUGAUUACAUUAUGAAAAAACCUCGGGCGAAGAUUUUAUAAAAAUUGCGCGGCCAUUAUGGACAAAAGGCAGCUUUUGGAUCCCAGACUUGCUGAGGCGAGUAGCACAUCCUGUUAAUUUCCUGUUUUCUUUGUCUCGUACUUCACUAUUUUAGAGACGAGCACUUAUAUUACUGAGGGUGCUCACCUCGGCCACCCCGCGUGUCCGAGGUGAAGUCACCUCGUCCCUCAUCGGAGCCCAUCCCUGUCUUGAGCACAAUCCCAGAGCCCGGCUUCAUCCCUAGUCCACCGUGUAGGUGACCUCGGCACAUCCACCUCGGCCGCACACUGAUGAUGUCAACCUGCCUGACAUCUUCCAGGACCAGCACUUUAUCUGAAAAGCACGUGAGGCACUUGAUGGCACCUGCACCAUAUCCUCCGUCAUCACUCCCAGGCGGCUACAGUGUCAGAGUCAGACUCCCC
rnacentral:lncRNA from 1 species